rnacentral:rRNA from 1 species
GGGUUGUGAGGUUAAGCGACUAAGCGUACACGGUGGAUGCCCUGGCAGUCAGAGGCGAUGAAGGACGUGCUAAUCUGCGAUAAGCGUCGGUAAGGUGAUAUGAACCGUUAUAACCGGCGAUUUCCGAAUGGGGAAACCCAGUGUGUUUCGACACACUAUCAUUAACUGAAUCCAUAGGUUAAUGAGGCGAACCGGGGGAACUGAAACAUCUAAGUACCCCGAGGAAAAGAAAUCAACCGAGAUUCCCCCAGUAGCGGCGAGCGAACGGGGAGGAGCCCAGAGCAUGAAUCAGUGUGUGUGUUAGUGGAAGCGUCUGGAAAGGCGCGCGAUACAGGGUGACAGCCCCGUACACAAAAAUGCACAUGCUGUGAGCUCGAUGAGUAGGGCGGGACACGUGGUAUCCUGUCUGAAUAU